UCAGGUCAUGGGUUCGACUCUGACUCACCCCGAGAAUAUCUUAGAACAGAUACACUUCUUAAGGUUAUAAGCCAUAUUAGUCAAAAAAAAACUUAGAUGCAGUAGCUUCGCAAAUAAUGAGAUAUAAACGAAGGCAAGAUGAAUGUGGGAAAAGGAUUACAACUCUAUCAUUUGUCAAUUGCUUCAAUUGUGUGCUGGUCAAUUACGUCUGCCUUACGCUUGUAAUCUUAAACAUAUGCUGAGUAUAUUCCAAUAAAACUAGCUACUCAUCCCAACUAUUUCAAUGUGUUUGAAAAACGUUGUUAAAACAAAACCAUAUAUAAAUCCAGAACUGAAUUAAACUAGACAAAGUACUUGAUCCCAGGAAAAGAAACAAGAAUGGAUUCAGGAACGCUUAUUUUACUGAUAUGGGUCGGUGUUGUCUUUGCGAGUAUAGUUUGUACUGCUGCGUAUUUUGGAGGAUUGGGCGGUGCCAUAAUAAGGUGUUUUUCUCGUGUAUCUACUAGGAAUGUGAGAAGGAGUCCUGCUGUUACUCCGGUGCAGACUUUGCAGAGUUCGACGAUAGCAGCAACUACUGUUAGUCCACACGUUGAGAAAGGUGAAACCGACAAUGUUAGUACUACUACUACGUAAGAUACGAAGAUUGUUUUAGCAAUGUAUAGUACUUCCGGUGGAGGUGGAAGCCUGAUUCCAUUUAAAAUGAUCAAUGAUCUCUUUUUCCCGCGGCAUAAUACAUGAAUAUUACCCGCAUAGGUAAUUGUUAGCUAUGUUUGUUUUGAGGGAUUAUAUGAUAUUCGGUUAAUAUUUUGUUAUUCAAGCUGUUGUAAGAUAAACUUUAGCAAAACAAUGAUUGUUCAUAGCAUUCGGUGGUAGUUGUUAACAUUUUUAGGAUCUAAGCCAGCAAAUUAAACCAGUCUCUAUCAUGCAACUUCGUAGAAUUAAAGAAGUUGCUAUGAACAAAACAAUUGUUCAUAGCUAUGCUUUAAGAAUUUUCUGAGCAGAACUGUAGUUCAACUCUGAUACUUGUUUCGAAACUAAUGCAUGCAUGUAUUGCAGAGGAAUGGGAUGGUCGAAAAGGGGUUCGCAUUGUCUAAGAGAUAGAGAAUGAGGGUGUAGUAGUAACAGAUGCAUUUUUUUAGGGGCUAUUUAGAAACAUGGG
rnacentral:lncRNA from 1 species